rnacentral:lncRNA from 1 species
GGCGUGGGAAGGUUGAGGAAGAGUUCACUGUAUGUCUAAUCAUUGCCUAAUUUGAAUCUAGAAGCACACGGAGGCAAGGAUAACAUGACAAGCAGCUGAAGGACAGGAGGCCAAGUGCAUGUGGUGCCAAACACACCUUCACUUACAAAGGAUCUUCCCUCUAGGAAUGGAAAGAAGCGGUAUGAUGUACCAUGUACAAACUCCAUGGAAUGAGGUCAGAAAGGGUGGAUGCUCUAUUGGAGACUGUCCUCAGAAAACAUGCUUCUUCCUGGAAAGCUGACAUUUCCUCCCAGCUUUCAGCAGGAGAAUAAAAAGAGGC